GAUGAACGCUGGCGGCGUGCCUAACACAUGCAAGUCGAGCGAUCUUCUUCGGAAGAGAGCGGCGGACGGGUGAGUAACGCGUGGGUAACCUGCCUCAUACACAUGGAUAACAUACCGAAAGGUAUGCUAAUACAAGAUGAUAUAAGAGAUUCGCAUGUUUUUCUUAUCAAAGCUUUUGCGGUAUGAGAUGGACCCGCGUCUGAUUAGCUAGUUGGUAAGGUAAUGGCUUACCAAGGCUUCGAUCAGUAGCCGACCUGAGAGGGUGAUCGGCCACAUUGGAACUGAGACACGGUCCAAACUCCUACGGGAGGCAGCAGUGGGGAAUAUUGCACAAUGGGCGAAAGCCUGAUGCAGCAACGCCGCGUGAGCGAUGAAGGCCUUCGGGUCGUAAAGCUCUGUCCUCAAGGAAGAUAAUGACGGUACUUGAGGAGGAAGCCCCGGCUAACUACGUGCCAGCCGCCGCAGUAAAAC
rnacentral:rRNA from 1 species